rnacentral:lncRNA from 1 species
GGCAACAAGGUCACAUGGCCACAUCUAAGGUGCACCUGAGCCCACCCCUGGGAGCUUCUGAUUCUGGCGGCCUCUCUUUGUGGCACAGCUGUGUCCUCCCCUGGUCCACAUCCUGGAGAGGGGGUUGCACUCAAGAGAAACAAGAAGAGAGAGAAGGCUUCUGCUCAUCCCUUCUGUGGAAGUCCCGGUGACCAUGGGGUGAGGAUCCCAACUCCCAUGUCAAGAUGGGCUGCGGUGGAGACGGGAGACCCGAGCUUUGGCACUCGACGGUGAGCAUUAAAAUUAUUUUAAGACGGCAUUUAGGGUCUGCGUUCCCUGUGUGUGAGCCAGUCCCAUUGCUGGCACCG